GACGUAGGGCGCAAGCGUUGUCCGGAUUUAUUGGGCGUAAAGAGCUCGUAGGCGGUCUGUCGCGUCGGCUGUGAAAUCCCGAGGCUCAACCUCGGGUCUGCAGUCGAUACGGGCAAACUGGAGUGUUGCAGGGGAGACUGGAAUUCCUGGUGUAGCGGUGAAAUGCGCAGAUAUCAGGAGGAACACCGGUGGCGAAGGCGGGUCUCUGGGCAACAACUGACGCUGAGGAGCGAAAGCGUGGGGAGCGAACAGG
rnacentral:rRNA from 1 species